AGGGAUAUAGUUUAAUGGUAGAAUAGCGGUCUCCAAAACCGUUGAUGGGGGUUCGAUUCCCUCUAUCCCUG
rfam:Fructobacillus fructosus KCTC 3544 strain DSM 20349 Scaffold9, whole genome shotgun sequence.